rnacentral:ncRNA from 2 species
CUCUUAUUGAGAGCGGCGGAGGGAUUAGGCCCGAUGAAGCCCGGCAACCUUCAGACAAUUGUCUGAGACGGUGCUAAUUCCUGCAGGUAGACGAACCUGAAAGAUAAGAG